AAGAUAACGGAACCCCCGGGAGAAGGGGGUGGGGAGCGCCGGGGCUCGCUCGCUCACUCACCUCCCGUGGUCGUCGCCGCCGGUAGUCUGACCCGAGGAAGACUUUUCAGACAAAUUUGGACUCUCCCUACUUUCCACUCAAGGCUUAUUAACCAAUUCAAGAGAACUUCAUGCCACAAGCAAGAUGGCACUGUUCUUGGUGUGACUGUGGAGAUACCUCAGUAGAUGAGAGCUGCUGUUGCUCCUCUGGAUCACAGUUCAGUUCCCAGCACCCCAUCCUUCUGCUCACAGCUGCCUGUUCCUCCAACUCCAGCGGAUACAGUGCCCUCUGCUGGCCUGACAGGCAUCUAUACUCAAACACAUGCCCAUC